GAUCAGGAGACUUUGUAUGAGAUGAAACUUUUUUGGAACCCAUAAACUUUCCAAGACAUUUUUAAUUGCUCAAAGGAGGAAGAGCAGUAAUUGGGAGAGAGAAUGCUGGCUCAUAUUUUCUGAAGGCUUAUAUUUUCUGGAGGGUCUCAGAAGCGGAGUGAAAUGAAAACAGUGGCUCAGGCUCAGCCUGGUCCUAUAAUCCUGUGCUUUAUCUUACCUGAACCUAAGAGACUCAUGGCAAUAACAAAAGGAGGAACAGGAUGAUGCACAAAACAUACUUUCAGUUUCAAAAUGGGGUGGAUGCCAAUCACACAGCUAAGUCUCCACCUGCAGCAGCACAGACUUUUUGGAACCCCUUUGCUUUAUUCUUAAAACUUCAAGAACAUCCAACACAAGUCAGCCCAAGGGGUUGCCUGGUACCUUCUCCUGGCACUUCCUCAGAAAGAACACAAAAAGCAUAUUCAGAAAUAAUUCACUGCACAUAUUCCAGCAUCCAGUAUUCUGCAGCUCAGGCACCCGCUGAAGCAGUGCCGAUGCCUCUGUGUAACUGUCCUGAGUUUUCCAGCUAAGAAGUCUCCACUAUUUACAUGAACCCUCUUUUCCCCCACACUAUCUCCUUCUCCCUGGAGAGCACAAUAUUGUUCAAAAUCUGCCACAUAGUGUGACAUGUAUCCAGAGGAUAAAACCAGAUUUACUUCCAUCCUCGAGGCUGAUCAAAUUACAACAAUUUACCACCUUCUAGACUCUACACACUGGUUUAGUUGCCUGAAGCAGACAAUGUAUUCACUCCAUGAAGAGUAACUUCAAGAAGAUCAUGUGAGGUAAUGUCAAUAGAAAAAUCUUUAAUAAAAAAAGUCUAAAUGAAGAAACAACAUGCCUUGCACAAAGAGGUUCUAAUGAAUACUUUUGCAAAAACAUUUAUUAUUUCUAAAUUAGCACAUGUUGUCUGCUGAAAGUAGGAUUGUGAAAAAAAAAAUCAGUUUUACAUGUGAACACAUUCAAUCCACAGAGAGAUAUGGAGUUAAAUAGAGUUAGGACUGUUUCCUACACCAAGGACAUUUAUGCAGGCAGUAAUCUUCCUAGGCAUCUGAAAGUGAAGAUGUUUUACUAGUUGUCUUUACAUACAUCACUUAGCCCAUAAAAGUUGUGUUUGCUCUUUUCUUUAAAAUGUACACUUGCUUUCCUUCCCCUCCUUCCAUCAGACAAGAAAAAAGUACUAGUUGGGGAAGUCAUUUUACUUAAAGUACACAAUGACCUUUCCUGAUCAAUAUUUCUAUUGACAUUUCUACAGUCAUUACCAUUUUAUGUUUGUUGUUCUCAUAGCCCUCACUUGUUUGUAUGUGAAAGAAAAAAUGUUUUCCCCCUAAGACUGCUAAGUUUGUGCAGUGUGUGUUACAGUCUGGUACCAACUGCAGUCAAACCAGACUGUGACAUUAGAUGACCACCAGAUAAAAUGCAAGUAUUUGUGCUGUGUGUUUGUUUUCAUUUUAAAAAAAUCCUAGUCAAAAUAUUUACUAGAAAGUAAAGGGACCAUUUCAGUAGAUGGAGGUAGUCUGAGUAUUUUAAAGCAGGGAGGAAUGCACAUAUUGGAAAAGAAUAAAUUAUUGAAGCAAAGUUAAAAAUUGUUUGCAUUUGAAUCCAGUGUUAAACCUAAUUUGCCUUUUCUUUGUAUGUGCUUCUGAACUGAGGAAUGACAAAAAUGCAGAUUUCUGACACUGGAAAAUUGUACCUCUUCACAUUUUGCACACUAAUUC